CCGGGGUGGUUGCUAGGGUGUUGCUAGGUGGUUGCUAAGGUGUUGCUAGGCGGUUGCUAAGGUGUUGCUAGGCGGUUGCUAAGGUGUUGCUAUGGUAUCCGGGGUGGUUGCUAAGGUGUUGCUAGGUGGUUGCUAGGUGGUUGCUAAGGUGUUGCUAGGCGGUUGCUAAGGUGUUGUUAUGGUAUCCGGGGUGGUUGCUAAGGUGUUGCUAGGUGGUUGCUAGGUGGUUGCUAAGGUGUUGCUAGGCGGUUGCUAAGGUGUUGCUAUGGUAUCUUGGGUGGUUGCUAAGGUGUUGCUAGGUGGUUGCUAGGUGGUUGCUAGGGUGUUGCUAGGCAGUUGCUAAGGUGUUGCUAUGGUAUCCGGGGUGGUUGCUAAGGUGUUGCUAGGUGGUUGCUAAGGUGUUGCUAGGCGGUUGCUAAGGUGUUGCUAUGGUAUCCGGGGUGGUUGCUAAGGUGUUGCUAGGUGGUUGCUAAGGUGUUGCUAUGGUAUCCGGGGUGGUUGCUAAGGUGUUGCUAGGUGGUUGCUAAGGUGUUGCUAGGCGGUUGCUAAGGUGUUGCUAUGGUAU